AGAGUUUGAUCCUGGCUCAGGAUGAACGCUGACAGAAUGCUUAACACAUGCAAGUCUACUUGAAUUCACUUCGGUGAUAGUAAGGUGGCGGACGGGUGAGUAACACGUAAAGAACUUGCCUUACAGUCUGGGACAACUAUUGGAAACGAUAGCUAAUACCGGAUAUUAUGAAUUUUCCGCAUGGAAGAUUUAUGAAAGCUAUAUGCGCUGUAAGAGAGCUUUGCGUCCCAUUAGCUAGUUGGUGAGGUAACAGCUCACCAAGGCGACGAUGGGUAGCCGGCCUGAGAGGGUGAACGGCCACAAGGGGACUGAGACACGGCCCUUACUCCUACGGGAGGCAGCAGUGGGGAAUAUUGGACAAUGGACCAAAAGUCUGAUCCAGCAAUUCUGUGUGCACGAUGAAGGUCUUCGGAUUGUAAAGUGCUUUCAGUUGGGAAGAAAGAAAUGACGGUACCAACAGAAGAAGCGACGGCUAAAUACGUG
rnacentral:rRNA from 1 species